CAGGCCGCCAGGAGGGAUGGGGCUGGGGUCUCCAGACCCUCUUCCCAGGGAGGCCGGAGCUCAGGGUUUCAGUGCGGGAAUCCCUGCUUUGCAGACGCGCAGCCCAGACCAAGCACAGCUGCUGCCCUCACAGACUUCUCGGCCACGACAACGCGGCAAACAGAGCCCCUGGGGAGCACGUCUCUCACAGUGACUCCCCUGACUCGCCCAGCAGGCCUAGGAGUGCGGAGGAGACUGAGGCAAGACGCUCAAGGGGCCACCCCUGAGCUCUUGACCCCUGGACGGCGCUCCUGGUGGCCCAUCAGGUCCCUUUCCACAGGCUCCACUUCAACGGGCGGCGGAACCUAAGCCCGCCCGUCUGCUGAAAGAAUGACCCAGAGCCCGUGUGUCCUUUUGAGCCAACAAGUGCCAAGGGCUGCAGGUAGUUUUAUUUCUGCCCCGUGAGACCCAAGGGGGCAGAGCCCUCACCCACCGCGCCACCCCCGCUGGCCCCCACCAGACUCAAGUCAGCGCACACACAUCCACCGUGGCGGGCUCCUCCCGGGUGAAGCCGUCGCCGGAGCCCUCGUCGUCCACCAGCUCAGGCUUCCGGCAGCACAUGGGGCAGAGGUGGUUGCGCACGGCAGAGGCCCGGAGCCAGACCACGAGGUUCCAGCGCUCACCGGUACCCAGGGGCCGGGCCCCGUGCAGCUGGCCGCCUCGGUGCAGGACACCCUGGCCCACCACAUGCUCCACCUCCAGGGGCUUGGCCAGGGCUGAAGGCGCCUGCAGAGGGCAGGGCUGAAGCUGGGCUCUCACGGCUGCCCCAGGCCCUGCCACAGGGUCCCACACACUCACCUGGAAGUAGCCCCCGAAGUAGAGGGCGCCCCCCGUGAAGGCCUUGCCCAGGGCCACAUUGAGGGUGAGCUCGGCGUUAUCGUAGUGACAGCCCAGCUCACGGUCCUGGUCUGGCGCGUAUUUGACCACGAAGGCACGGUGGCUGUCCAGCCGGCCCCCGCCACCGUCCGGGUAGAGCAGGGCCAUCAGUGGCUGCAGGAAGCGCUCCCGCAGCGGCGUCACCAGCGGCUCAUCCAGGCCCAACUCAUGCAGCAGCACCUGGGAGGGGAACCCUGGGUCACGGGAACCGGUGGGGCCUCACUCUGGGUGCUUUGCCAGUGUGAAACUCAGCGUCACGAUAAUGCUGCCAGGAUCUCAUUUUACAGGCGGGACCAAGGCACGGAGGGAGCACAGCUUAUCUGCAGCCCUGCAGAUGAGGAAACCAAGGCAAAGGUUAAGGAACUGGCAAUAGCUGCCUGGCCUGGGACUUCCCGGGGGUUGUAGCCCAUUGGAGACCCCAGCAGAAGACCAAGGGCUGCAGGAGUAUGGCCCCCAGCUCCAGGGCUUCACAGCAUCAAGAAAUAUCACCAUUGCCCACUUCUCCAGGUCUAGGCAUGGGGACUGCUUCCCCCAUUGCAGACCCCUGUGGGGGGGGGUGGUCCUUCCCCAUCCUGUGCCAAACCCUGAACCCAGCCCACACCUGUCUCUGCAUCAAGGCCGGUGGGCUCAGGCCUGACUGAAGGCCCCGAGUAACUAUCUGCGGUAAGUGUGUACACGGGGCCCGUUCCUGGCAGGGUGGUCCUCCCGGCCCUUCUAGCUCCUGCUGGUUUGGUUUGGGGAGGCAGACAUGGUGGGUAGAGACCCCAGUCUCCCGAGUCCUGCCAGCUCAUGGGACAAAGACCUCACCUGACACAGUCUCCAGCCGUUGAAGAAGGCCCUGGAGGUUUGCACCUGGUGAUGUGCUAUACUCAGUCGCAGCCAGAAACUCGGGGGCCAAGGCCCCAUCCUGGGGGCAGAACACACCAUUUGUGGAGCAGGCAGCCCCAGGCCCGAAUGCCCCUUCUACCUCCAGCCACCCGCCUCUGCCCCACACACGCUUGCUGGUACCUGCAGCGAGUGGUAGAUGUCAGGCCUCGCCGGGCGGUAGGAGCUGGCGAUGAGGGCUUUCCUGGCAGCUGAUUCCUGCCCCAGCCGCUGCCGCCGCUGAACCUCCUGUUGCAGCUGGGGUGGCACAGGGCCUGGUUACCAGGAUGGGGCCUCCCACUCCCAAGUCAUGGCACAGAUGAGGAAACAGACUCAGGAAGUCAGAGCAGGGCCCAGGCUGGGAGCAGAUCUCCCUAUACUCCUGAUGCCACCAGGGCUCACUGCAGGUGCCAGGUUGGGAGCUGAAGAGGGCUCCUUCUUGAAGGGGGCCCAGUCCCCUCUGGGUUGCACCAACGUGAGCCUGGCUUGGAUCAGCGCCCAUCUGUGCCCAUGGGGGCUGGAGGGAAAUAGAGCACUGGCCAAGUGCUGUGCUCCAGAGGCUGUAGAAGUCUCCCCUGGGAUGCUCCCACUGCUAACCCCUGGGUGAGAGAGGUGGGAGGGGGCUGCAGCAGCCCUGGCAGUCCCGGGUGGGCUCUCCACCUCCUGACCUGCUGUGAAACCCCAGAGCAGAUGACAACCCUCCUUGAGCCCAAGUUGUUCAUCUCAAUAUGGGGUGAUGGCUGCACCUAUCUGUCUCCCAGAGCAGUUCAGAGGACAAGCUCAGCAACUCGGCAUUUUCCUCUUGGUCUGGGGCCAGACCCCUGGGCGCUGUGCAUAUGGGGGACGGGUGGGCAGAUCAAGGAGCCCUUCAGGUGCCUGAGACUGCCACAGGCCUGAAGGGCUGGGAGACGCGCUCAAAUGCCUGAUCCAGAUCUAAAGAGGCAGGGCCAGGCAGGAUGUGGUGGGGGCGCGGGCGGGCGAAGUUACCUCUUCCAACAGCUGCUGGAAGUCCAGGGGGCUGACACAGCCUCUGCUGCGCAGCACCUGAGGGCAGGAAGGCCAGUGAGCACGGCUGUGUGACCCUGAGCAAGUCACUUAAAGUCUGCGGGCCUCGGCUUCGCCCCUUCAGGUGGGGGCGAGAGCCCCGACCUCAGCAUGGUGCGAGGAUGAGCUGCGGGGGACGCGCGCCGGGCGCCCACGUGCGGUCAGUAACCACGCGGUCAAAACCAGACCCCCCAAGCGCUUUAUUUCUCGCUACGGAGACGCGACCCCGUUUACGGGGCGAAAACAGGGGCGCCGGGAAGCGGCCAGCGGCAGG